GGCUUAACACAUGCAAGUCGAGGGGCAGCGCGUUGUAGCAAUACGGAUGGCGGCGACCGGCGCAAGGGUGCGUAACGCGUGAGCAAUCUGCCCGUAUCAGGGGGAUAAGCGAUGGAAACGUCGUCUAAUACCGCAUAACACUGGAUGUGGCAUCACAAUCAGUUGAAAGCUUCGGUGGAUACGGAUGAGCUCGCGAGACAUUAGCUAGUUGGCGGGUAACGGCCCACCAAGGCUGCGAUGUCUAGGGGAACUGAGAGGUUGGUCCCCCACACUGGAACUGAGACACGGUCCAGACUCCUACGGGAGGCAGCAGUGAGGAAUAUUGGACAAUGGCCGGAAGGCUGAUCCAGCCAUGCCGCGUGAAGGAAUAAGGUCCUAUGGAUUGUAAACUUCUUUUGUACGAGAGCAAUAAGGGUGUCGAGACAUCCGAUGAGAGUAUCGUACGAAUAAGCAUCGGCUAACUCCGUGCC
rnacentral:rRNA from 1 species